UACGAAGGGGGCUAGCGUUGUUCGGAAUUACUGGGCGUAAAGGGCGCGUAGGCGGUACUUCAAGUCAGGCGUGAAAGCCCCGGGCUCAACCUGGGAACCGCGCUUGAGACUGGAGAACUAGAGUUCGGGAGAGGAUGGUGGAAUUCCCAGUGUAGAGGUGAAAUUCGUAGAUAUCGGGAGGAACACCAGUGGCGAAGGCGGCGAUCUGGGAAGAUACUGACGCUGAGGUGCGAAAGCGUGGGGAGCAAACAGG
rnacentral:rRNA from 1 species